rnacentral:rRNA from 1 species
UACGUAGGGUGCAAGCGUUGUCCGGAUUUAUUGGGCGUAAAGAGCGUGUAGGCGGCCAAGCGGGUCCGCUGUGAAAACUCGAGGCUCAACCUCGAGAGGUCGGUGGAAACCGUUUGGCUAGAGUCCGGAAGAGGAGAGUGGAAUUCCCGGUGUAGCGGUGAAAUGCGCAGAUAUCGGGAAGAACACCCGUGGCGAAGGCGGCUCUCUGGGACGGUACUGACGCUGAGACGCGAAAGCGUGGGGAGCGAACAGG